GACGAACGUUGGCGGCGUGCCUAAUACAUGCAAGUCAACUGAAAUACCGGUAGCAAUACUGGUAUGGAGGUGGCGCACGGGUGAGUAACACGUAGGUAAUCUGCCUUCAGGUCUGACAUAACCCAUCGAAAGGUGAGCUAAUAUCAGAUGAUGCAGCGGCUUGACAUCAAGACAGUUGUUAAAGCUUCGGCGCCUGAAGAUGAGCCNGCGUCUGAUUAGCUAGUUGGCGGGGUAACGGCCCACCAAGGCUGCGAUCAGUAGCUGGUCUGAGAGGAUGAUCAGUCACACUGGAACUGAGACACGGUCCAGACUCCUACGGGAGGCAGCAGUAAGGAAUAUUGCUCAAUGGCCGAAAGGCUGAAGCAGCAACGCCGCGUGAGGGAUGAAGGG
rnacentral:rRNA from 1 species